rnacentral:lncRNA from 1 species
CGAGGUGCCUUUGAAAAGCUCCAGGGCACUGUGGCCAGGGUUCACAUUGGCCAAGUUAUCAUGUCCAUCUGCAACAAGCUGCAGAAUAAGGAGCAUGUGAUUGAAUCCCUGCUCAGGGCCAAGUUCAAGUUCCCUGGCUGCCAGAAGAUCCACAUUUCAAAGAAGUGGGGCUUCACCAAGUUCACUGCGGAUGAAUUUGAAGACAUGGUGGCUGAAAAGCGGCUCAUCGCAGAUGACUGUGGGGUCAAGUACAUCCCCAUCAUGGCCCUCUGGACAAGUGGCGUGCCCUGCCCUCGUG